UUGAAUGUUCCAUCCUUUAUAUUAUGGAUAAUACAUUGACCGGAUCCAAAUCGGAGAGCAGCAGCGGAGUGCCUGCUAACACAUUGACCAGAUCCAAAUCCAAAUCGGAGAGCAGCAGCGGAGUGCCUGCCUAUAUUUGCAAAUGAACCCCAUAAAAGAGUAAUCAUUGCUGCUCAAAUGCGAACCUGUCCAUCACCUCAAGCCGCAUGCGGCCGAGCUGAAAUAGCAUCCUCUGCCUGAACAACAAGAUAGAGAAGAAGCUUUCAUGAUUAUAUAUAAGAAACCUACUUUUGCUGUGAUUUUGAUUUUCUUUGGUUUAUAGAAGCGGUUACUGUUUUCCUCAAAAAACAAAAAAAAACUCAUAUUACCUGUAUUUUGCUUCAAUUAUAGCUCCCACUGUAACAACACAGAGGAGAGAAACUAAUUUCUUUCCAUUUUUUUUCUCCGCAUAUAUGUAGCUAAAAUCCUUCACCAAAGAAGCGUUGAACAAAAA
rnacentral:lncRNA from 1 species